CCGUAGGUGAACCUGCGGAAGGAUCAUUAUUGAAUGAACUUGGUGUGGUUGUUGCUGGCUCUCUMGUGGGGGCAUGUGCACACCCGCCCAUCCUCAUCUCUCCACCUGUGCACYUCUUGUAGACCUGGAUGAAUUUUCCGAGGUAACUCGGUCGGGGAGGAAUGCUGCGCUAUUWGCGUCGGCUUUCUUUGCACUUUCAAGCCUACGUUUUUUUCAUAUACCCCAUAGUAUGUAACAGAAUGUAUCAUUGGGCCUUAAGUGCCUAUAAACCUUAUACAACUUUCAGCAACGGAUCUCUUGGCUCUCGCAUCGAUGAAGAACGCAGCGAAAUGCGAUAAGUAAUGUGAAUUGCAGAAUUCAGUGAAUCAUCGAAUCUUUGAACGCACCUUGCGCUCCUUGGUAUUCCGAGGAGCAUGCCUGUUUGAGUGUCAUUUAAUUCUCAACCUUAUUAGCUUUUGCUGAUAAUGGCUUGGAUGUGGGGGUUUUCUUUUGCUGGCUUUCGUCAGCUCCCCUUAAAUGCAUUAGCUGGUGCCCCGCGUGGACUGUCCGUUCGGUGUGAUAAUUAUCUACGCCGUGGAUGUCUGCAAAUAGGUUUUGCACUGCUUCUAACYGUCUGUUCAUUUGGACAAUACAUGACAAUUUGACCUCAAAUCAGGUAGGACUACCCGCU
rnacentral:rRNA from 1 species